GGGAAAUGAACAACAGUAUCCCUACCAAUAAGUUAAAGUGGUCUUUGAAAUUUCCACAGUAAAUUUAAAGACUCUAAGGGACAGAAUAAAAUAAUGGCAGUGCCCAGGGCAGAAUGAAGCAUAGGUUACAUGCUAAGAGCGUAUCAGUCAUCUCAAGCAGAACAAGCCAUCAUUCUUAGCUGAAUGUUAGCCUCAUAUUUUAUUCUCUCUGUCUUCAAGUAUGUCCCUGUUCUACUGUCUUACUAGGGAGUGUUUUAUCUUAGAAAAUCUACUUUAAAUAUUUGCAGGGAAGC
rnacentral:lncRNA from 1 species